rnacentral:rRNA from 1 species
UACAGAGACUGCAAGCGUUAUUCGGAUUCACUGGGCGUAAAGGGUGCGCAGGCGGUUGGGUGUGUCAGAUGUGAAAUCCCGAGGCUUAACCUCGGAACUGCGUCUGAAACUACUCGACUAGAGUACUGGAGAGGGUAACGGAAUUCACGGUGUAGCAGUGAAAUGCGUAGAUAUCGUGAGACACAGAGCGAGGUCGUUACUGACAGUUACUGACGCUCGAGGCAACGAAAGCAGUGGGGAGACGAAAAGGGUAUUAACG